rnacentral:tRNA from 1 species
GGGCUCGUAGCUCAGCCUGGUUAGAGCGUCGGUCUUAUAAGCCGAAGGUCUGGGGUUCGAAACACGGGUCGCAUUUGUAAAUGCGUUUUGACUUGCUUAGCAAGUCUUUGUAUGUGAAUUUCCCCACGAGCCCA